rnacentral:lncRNA from 1 species
AAAGAGAAUUAUAGAGAAAUACACUGUUUGUUAUAUUGCUUUUACUUUCUUACAGAAUGAAUACAAAAGGUUCCUAUUUAUACACUUUUCACUACUUGUACAGCAAGUAACAAAUCCUUAACAACCUAACAACCAUAUCACUUAAUCUCUUGACAGAUGGCAUCUUCUUGGCCAUUGGAUUGAUCUUCCUUAUCUAUAUCUUUACAUCCCCCCCCCCAAUCACAUGGGUGGAGGAACCAAGCAUGAGAUUGGCACAAUGAUGACGAAACAAAGAUAUAGACAGACCCUUGGUAAGGAUAUCAGCAAAUUGUUCCUUGGAAGACACAUGAUGAACAGCCAAGUCUCCUCGAACUACUCUUUCGCGAACAAAAUGAUAAUCAAUCUCAAUAUGUUUCACCCGAGAGUGAAAAAUUGGAUUAGAAGACAGUGCUAUGGCAGAAAUAUUAUCACAAUACAAUGUUGGAUGAGCAUAUAAAGGAACCUGUAAAUCACAUAGAAGCUGUCGGAUCCAAGCCAUUUCAGCAGCAGUUAUGGCUAAAGCUCGAUAUUCUGCCUCAGUAGAUGACCGAGAAACAGUGUGUUGUUUCUUGGAUGCCCAAGAAAUCAGACUUGUACCAAGGUAGACAAUAUAACCAGAAGUCGAACGACGGUCAUUUGGAUCCCCAGCCCAAUCAGCAUCACUAUAUGCUUGUAAAAACAAUGAUCCAGGUUUAAAAUGUAUGCCAUAGGUCAUUGUACCACUGAGAUAUCUAAGAAUCCGUUUGACUGCAACUACAUGAGAAUCCAUAGGACGAUGCAUAAACUGACAACAUUGAUUUACAGCAAAGGCAAUGUCGGGACUGGUGAAUGUCAGAUAUUGCAAUGCACCAACGACACUACGAUACUGUUCAGGAUUAUGAUAAGGCUGCCCUUCUUUCUUAAUAAGCCUGUGAGAAGGAAGACAGGGAGUAUCACAGGCUUUGGCAUUUUGUAUAUCAACCUUGUGCAAGAGAUCCUUGAUAUAUUUAGAUUGGGAGACAAAUAAACCAUCGGACUGAUACUGUAUUUGUAAGCCAAGAAAAUAAUUAAGCUGUCCCAAGUCCUUUAUAUCAAAUUGUUGAGUAAGAGCCAAGAUCAUCGUGGAAAUAUCACUUGAACUACUACCAGUGAUAAUGAUAUCAUCAACAUAUAGUAAUAACACAACAAUGCUAAGCUCAAUACGUUUCACAAAGAGAGAAGGAUCUGCAAGAGAAGGUUGAAAACCCAAACCUGGAAGAAAGCUUGUAAACUUCUCAUUCCAAGCGCGAGGAGCAUGUUUUAGGCCGUAUAGUGAUUUCUUGAGCUUGCAAACAUAGUGAGAUGGAUGAUCAGUACUGAAAAACCCAAGAGGUUGAGCCAUAUAUACCUCUUCAUGUAAGUCACCAUGCAAAAACACAUUUUUGACAUCUAAUUGGCCCAAAUCCCAAUGAAACUGAGCAGUAAGAGCCAGAAUUAAUCGGACGGUAGUUGGUUUGACCACGGGACUGAAUGUCUCACUAUAGUCAAUCCCCUAUUUUUGACUAUAACCCUUGGCAACUAAUCGUGCCUUGUACCUGGAAAUGGACCCAUCAGGAUGCUUUUUAAGGCGAUAAACCCACUUGCAGCCAACAAAAUUUUUGCCACUUGGAAGGGGAACAAGAUCCCAGGUUUGUUACAAAUGUAGAGCUGUGAUCUCAUCUAGCAUAGCUGCUUGCCAUUCUGGGAUUUUAGUAGCAGCUUUAUAAUUGGUAGGCUCAACAAUAGAAAUCUCGGAUGAAGGAACAGUUGCAGAGUAUGCUUUCCGUUUAACAAUCCCACUUGUAGACCGAGUUUGCAUGGGAUGAAGAUUGACUGAAGGAACUGGAAGCACAACAGUAAGAUUUUCAGAUUGAAAAUCAGGAUCAUCAGGGAUUGGGGACUGUGUAGCUGUGAUAGAGGCUGAAGAGAAUAAGGUGGAAGCUUGAGGAUAAGGUAGUGGGUGCAGGUAUAGUAGUGAACAACUCUGAAGCUGAAGAGGGUACAUUCAAAGAUUCUGAAGCACUAGGAGGUUCAAUGAAUGACUCUGAAGCUCGAGGUGGAAAGGAUGUAGAUGAUGCAGGUGAUGAUGAUGAAUGACUGGUGUGUGAUAGUGAUGGUGGACUAGAAAUCACUGUGUUAUUUUUUGUGAGAAGUGGAAUAAGUGAGGAAGAAGUACAGUUUGAAACACACUCCAAAGGAUGAGAUUUAGAUGCCAAAGUUGUGUAAGGAAAAGUAUAUUCAUCAAACAAGACAUGCCUAGACACAUACAAUUUUCCUGUACUUGGUUGAAAACAAAUGUAGCCCUUGUACUGCCCUGCAUAACCCAGAAACACACAUUGGGUUGAAGUUUAGUAGUAUUGUAAGGUCGCAGUAAAGGAAAACAACUACAGCCAAAAGUUUUCAAAUGGGUUAAGAUUGGAGAAGUACCAAACAGACAAAAAUAGGGAGAUUUCAUAGACAAAGUAUGACAUGGCAUUCUGUUUAUCAAAUAAACUGCCGUAGCACAAGCAUGGAACCAAAACUGGGAAGGUAAUUUAGAGGUAUACAUAAGAGUGAGGGCAGUUUCAACAAUGUGCCUAUGCUUUCUCUUAGCAAGGCCAUUUUGUUCAGGUGUAUAUGGGCAGGAUUUUUGAUGUAUUAUGCCUUUGUCAAGUAAAAACUGUUUAAACUUGUUACUGGAAAAUUCACCACCACCAUCACUUUGAAAGAUUUUAAGUGCACUAGAAAACUGAGUAGACAGAAAAGCAUGAAACUGCACAAACGUUUGAAACACCACACUUUUAUUCAUUAAUGGAAAUAUCUAGGUAAACCUGGUACAUUCAUCAACAAAAGUAACAUAAAAUCGGAAGCCUUCUAUUGACAAUGUAGGAGAUGACCCCCAAACAUCACUAUGGAUGACUUCUAAAGGUUGUACAGUUUUAUUUGCAGGAAAAGGGAAAAGCAAUUUAGUUAUUUUGCCCUCUAAACAAGAGAUACACACAUGCCUAGAUUGGUCUAAUGCAAAAGGAACCUGAGAUUGGUCCAACAUUUUUGCAGUAACAAGAUUGGAAGGGUGACCUAAUCUAUUGUGCCAAAGAGAUGUGUUGACUUGACGACCAAUGAGACGGUGUUGUUGUUUAGGGAAGUGAGAUGCUUGAUAUGCUUGCUUGAGUAUGAAUGGAGGUAUAUGAAAAGGAAUCGGGUACAAUCCAGCUCUACACAGCCUCUAAAGAAGGAUUCUCCCUGUGAUAUUGUCCUGUAUCCAGAAACAAAACUCAUCACAUAUAAACCGACAGUGAUUAUCUUUACAGAGCUGAUAUACGGACAAUAGAUGUUGUGACAGUUUUGGAACAUGUAAAAUUUCUUUCAACUGAAAAGCAUAUUUAGGAGCUCUUAAAGUUGAAGAACCAGUAUGAGAUAUUUCCAAACCUGAGCCAUUAGCUGUGGUGAUAGUAUCAGUCCCUGUGAAAGGAGUGGCAAGAUUAAGGUUUGCCAAUUCAGAGGUCAUAUGAGAUGUAGCUCCAGUGUCAGCCACCCAAAACUGUUCUUGUGGGGCAGACGGUGGAUAAAUGACAUUCAUGGCAGUGAGAUUUGGUGAUGGUGACCUCCCUUGAUAAGAAAAGUUAGCCCUGUGGUAGCAUUGGAGUACAGAGUGUCCAAAUUUCCAGCAAAUUUGGCACUGGAUAGGAGAAGACAAAACUGGUGUAGAAGAGUGCCUUUGAAAACAAUCAGAGGCGAUGUGACCUCUUUUGGUACAAAUCUGACAAGUAGGCACAUCAUUGCCAUGCUCAGGACAAGUAGAAACAUAAGGUCUUGCAGGGCCAAGAAUCCCAGGACCAGUAUUGUAAUUGCUACCAGAAAAUCGUGGAUUCCCAAAAUGAUUUCGACCCCUAGAUCAGCCUCUGAAGUUAGAGCCUCGAAAUCCUCCAGAAUUGUAAGUAUUGCCACCAUUAGUAUAGCCUCCAGAAUUAUAGUUGGGACCACCAUUAUGUGAAUAAGAAGAACUUCAAGUUUGAUAUGACGACUGAGUGCCAUUUGAAGGAGAAGAAUCACCGGCAAGUAGUAAUCCUUUCCCUUUAGAGUCAUGGCCUUGAGCUAGCAUCGCAGGAACAAAAGAGCUAGACAGUGAAGAGUUUUCAAGAACAGAUUCCUCAGCAAGUAACUGAGCUCGAAAGUCUUUUAGAGAAAUAACAUUGUCUCUCCCUCGAAUCACAGUUCUAAAGGUAUUGUACUCAGAAGGUAACCCUUUGAAAGCAAUGAUAACAAUAUCGUCAUCAUCAAAUGAUACUCCAGCAGCAGCCAAAUGAUCACGGGCAUCCUUUACCCUUUGUAGAUACUGAGAAACUAACCCAGUUCCCUUCUUAAUAUUUUGAAGCUCAGUUUUCAAUUGAAAUAUACUAGAUUUGGUGACCGUGGAAAACCUAUCACGAAGACUCAUCCACAUUUCACGUGCAUUGGUACAACCAAUUAUACAAGACAUGCCAGUAACAGAUAAAGUUGCAAUGAUCAACAGCAUUAAAGCACAAUCAUGCAUCUUCCAUAUCUGAUAUGCUUCAGUUUCAACACCUUCAAGAUUAGGAUUAUCAACGAACCAAGUAGGACACUGACGAGAACCAUCCACAAAGCCAAGAAUCCCAUGACUUUCAAGCAGCAAUUGCAUCUGAUAAUGCCAGACUAGGUAAUUUGUAUCAUCCAACUUCACAGUCACAGAGGUGGACACAGUAGGAAUUAAAUUCGUAAUUGGAGAUUGCACAAUUUGUAGCUGUGCAGCAGUCACCAUAUUUUCACAGAUCGUAUAAGCAAACAGAAUUUCUUGCAAGAACUGAAAGUUUGAAAACCGUUCUUGAACAAUCUUGAGACGAAAAUCAACUUCAAUUAUACAAAGAAGAGUAUCACAGAGAAAAUUUCACAGACACAUUUCAUCAAACACCUGAUGUGCAAUAAUCAAGCUUCGAAAUCAAGAGGAGAAGGCACAUAUACUAUAGCACUCCAGAAGAAGAAUUGCAUACCAGAAAUUCACACAAAUGAAUGCAAAUUCGGAAAUCUCAGAGAUGAAUGCGGAAGCAGAAAGAAGAUCAGGAUCGGAGAGACGCCACCACCGGCGAUGAUACCAUGUUGAAUUAACUAUCUUGAGUUUGAAGAUUAUCAAUGUUGUUUAAAGAGGGAAAGAUUAUAGACACAGAAUGUAGAAAGAGAGAGAUCAAAGAGAAUUAGAGAGAAAUACAUUGUUUGUUAUAUUGCUUUUACUUUCUUACAGAAUGAAUACAAAAGGUUCCUAUUUAUACACUUUUCACUACUUAUACAGCAAGUAACAAAUCCUUAACAACCUAACAACCAUAUCACUUAAUCUCUUGACAGAUGGCAUCUUCUUGGCCAUUAUCUUCUUGACCAUUGGAUUGAUCUUCCUUAUCUAUAUCUUUACAAAAACUAUAGAAAGCCGCUCGAUGCGCCAUCGCGCUUAACAACCACCUGGUGAGAACGAAGAAAA